CCGCCUGGGGAGUACGGCCGCAAGGUUAAAACUCAAAUGAAUUGACGGGGGCCCGCACAAGCGGUGGAGCAUGUGGUUUAAUUCGAUGCAACGCGAAGAACCUUACCUGGUCUUGACAUCCACAGAAGAAUCCAGAGAUGGAUUUGUGCCUUCGGGAACCGUGAGACAGGUGCUGCAUGGCUGUCGUCAGCUCGUGUUGUGAAAUGUUGGGUUAAGUCCCGCAACGAGCGCAACCCUUAUCCUUUGUUGCCAGCGGUCCGGCCGGGAACUC
rnacentral:rRNA from 1 species